UUUUUUUUUUUUUUUUUUUUUGAUCUUCAGGAACUAUUUUUGGUUUAUAAUAUUUUUUAAAGAAUUCCUUGAGUUUGGAAAUCCAAAAGGGAAUGGAAUAUAUUUUGCUACUCUGUCCCACUUCUUGAGAGCAUUUAUGUAAUGGUUUCUACAACUAUCACACUUGUACAGAUCUCUGUAUGUAUACAUUGGUAUUUUAAAUGCCUAACAAAGUGCUGGUUACCUUUACAGAAAGCUGAUAAGGUAGGUUACAGUGGAAACCUUCACAAGGAGAGCAAGCCACUGAAGUCUACUGUGGAACUCCCAUUCACUUCAAAAAGAGCAGUAAUAGACCCCCAUAUCAGAACUGAUGGUAAUAAGACGGCUUCACUUUUGACAGUGCUGAAAAGCUUCACUGCCUCUGUUUCUUUGAUGUGUGGCUGUCAACAUUAUAGCAAUAAACGGAGGAAUAAAAUGACUUGCUGAAUUAGGCAUGCCAGUGCAUGAGGCACUGGAUUCACUAGUAACUGUACCACUUGGAGGAUUUAAUCAUUUUAUCCACUUUUACUAAAUAAUGGUUAAAUGGAAUGGGGAACUCUGGUUGGGCUGUAUGGUAAGAAGUUUCCACCAGUUUGGUCUGUCCUGUAUAAACUAUGAUCUGUCUUAUAUUAACAGCUCUCUCCCUAUUUCUUAAAAUAUUAGGAUCAUGGAAACCUUACUCAGUGACCAUAGCCAAAGUUCUUGGUGUAACUAUGAAUUUUGUAUAAAUAACUUGAUACUUUUUAAAAGGAAGGGGGUGAGGAACAGAGGGAGAGAGAAAAAAUAUUUUAAGUUUAAUGUAUUUGGACCGGGAAGUGGAGAAUCAGCAGAAGUGGGCAUUGGAUGUCUAAAAGGGUGAAGCAAUCCAAAGCGUAGUAGCUACCGUUGAAGCAACAAAGGCAAGUGCCUCUGAUUUGUACCAAAUACUUCUGUUCUUCUCACACAGAGGUAUACUACUUAAACAGUGUUCAUGUACCAUCCAAAAGAGAAUGCAGCUCUUACUUGAGGAGUUUUGACCCUUUUGAAACAUGUGAGGACAAGUUUCCUUUUAAUAUUCAGCCAGUUGAAGCCCAGUGAAUUUCUCCACCUGACACCUCAGUUAGAUUUAAAUGUGAAUUAGAUUUAAAUCUGAUGUGUUGUGAGCACUGAAAUGAGAAGGAAUUUUUGCUACAUUUUUUUGCUUCUGUAGAUGACACUUAAAUUUUAGUGUGUCUUGUUAGACACCAUGUUGUUGGCCUUUGGGCUGAAAAGAAAGUGUCAUUUUUUUCCCCAUUUUUAUCAUUUCCAUUCAGGGCCUUAUUUUUUAGUCCCUGCACUUUCUCAAGCUGCUGGAUUCAAGAGCAUAAGGAAUUGAACGCUGACACUCCUGGUGGUGUUUCCUGGGAGUUUAGCUCUACUUGGUAAGUGGGGAGAAAAGAAGUUGCCCUGUUUCUAAGGGAGGUGUUUUAUUAUGCGUUCCUUUGGAUGUUAUAUUGCCACCUGCAUUUGCUUUUAAUGAAUUAAAAAAUGCACAAAGCAAAAUAAUUCUGUAUGUACCAUUAUGUAGUGUAUGUAGAAAGGUAUUCACGAAACAUUUGUUCAUGGCGAAUACAAGACUAAAUAGUUAAUACAGCACUUUCUUUCAAGGUUUUUUGGUAGAUGUGUAUAUGCAGUUUCAUAACUAAUGGCAGCAAGUUGACAUACGUAUUUAGCCAGACUCCUAUUAACCUUUUUAGUAAAUGUACUACUAUAAUCGUACAGUGUUAAACUACAAAAAUGCUAAAAGCCAUGUUUUUAAUUAAACGAUUUCCAUGUAUCCAACAGUAUCAUUAAAAAAAAAUAAUCUAA
ensembl:lncRNA